CAGCGCCACAAGUGGCAAUCACGUUUAUUGGGCCUAAAGCGUCCGUAGCCGGUUUAGCAAAUCUUUUGUGAAAUCGUCAGGCUCAACUUGACGAAUUGCAGAAGACACUACUAAACUAGGGACCGGGAGGAGUCAGAAGUAUUCCGGGGGGACCGGUAAAAUGGUAUAAUCCCCGGAGGACUACCGAUGGCGAAGGCAUCUGACUAGAACGGAUCCGACGGUAAGGAACGAAAGCUAGGGGAGCAAACCGGAUUAGAGACCCGAGUAGUCC
rnacentral:rRNA from 1 species